CCUACGGGAGGCAGCAGUGAGGAAUAUUGGUCAAUGGCCGGAAGGCUGAACCAGCCAUGCCGCGUGAAGGUCAGUGCCCUAUGGGCGUUAAACUUCUUUUGUGCGGGAGCAAUACUGGUCACGUGUGGCCAGACGAGAGUACCGUACGAAUAAGCAUCGGCUAACUCCGUGCCAGCAGCCGCGGUAAUACGGGGGAUGCAAGCGUUAUCCGGAUUUAUUGGGUUUAAAGGGUGCGUAGGCUGUGAGGUAAGUCAGCGGUGAAAUGCCCCCGCUCAACGGGGUGAAGUGCCAUUGAUACUGCCUGGCUGGAGUGCGGAUGCCGUGGGAGGAAUGUGUGGUGUAGCGGUGAAAUGCAUAGAUAUCACACAGAACACCGAUUGCGAAGGCAUCUCACGAAUCCGCGAUUGACGCUGAUGCACGAAAGCGUGGGUAUCAAACAGGAUUAGAUACCCGAGUAGUC
rnacentral:rRNA from 1 species